rnacentral:rRNA from 1 species
UACAGAGGUCUCAAGCGUUGUUCGGAUUCAUUGGGCGUAAAGGGUGUGUAGGUGGCGCCGUAAGUCGGGUGUGAAAUUUCGGAGCUUAACUCCGAAACUGCAUUCGAUACUGCGGUGCUUGAGGACUGGAGAGGAGACUGGAAUUCAUGGUGUAGCAGUGAAAUGCGUAGAGAUCAUGAGGAAGACCAGUGGCGAAGGCGGGUCUCUGAACAGUUCCUGACACUGAGACACGAAGGCCAGGGGAGCAAACGGG